rnacentral:rRNA from 1 species
GACGAACCGUCCUAACGUUGUUCGGAAUCACUGGGCUUAAAGGGCGCGUAGGCGGGCGAGCAAGUCUAGGGUGAAAUCUUUCGGCUUAACCGGAAAUAGCCUUGGAUACUGCUGGUCUCGAGGGAGGUAGGGGUCGUUGGAACUUCCGGUGGAGCGGUGAAAUGCGUUGAUAUCGGAAGGAACGCCGGUGGCGAAAGCGAACGACUGGACCUUUUCUGACGCUGAGGCGCGAAAGCCAGGGGAGCAAACGGGG